rnacentral:rRNA from 1 species
GACGAACGCUGGCGGCGUGCUUAACACAUGCAAGUCGAACGGAAAGGCCCUGCUUUUGUGGGGUGCUCGAGUGGCGAACUGGUGAGUAACACGUGAGUAACCUGCCCUUGACUUUGGGAUAACUUCAGGAAACUGGGGCUAAUACCGGAUAGGAGCUCCUGCUGCAUGGUGGGGGUUGGAAAGUUUCGGCGGUUGGGGAUGGACUCGCGGCUUAUCAGCUUGUUGGUGGGGUAGUGGCUUACCAAGGCUUUGACGGGUAGCCGGCCUGAGAGGGUGACCGGCCACAUUGGGACUAAGAUACGGACCAGACUCCUACGGGAGGCAGCAGUGGGGAGUAUUGCACAGUGGGCGGAAGCCUGAUGCAGCGACGCCGCGUGCGGGAUGACGGCCUUCGGGUUGUAAACCGCUUUCGCCUGUGACGAAGCGUGAGUGACGGUAAUGGGUAAAGAAGCACCGGCUAACUACGUG